AGAGUUUGAUCCUGGCUCAGGAUGAACGCUAGCUACAGGCUUAACACAUGCAAGUCGAGGGGCAGCAUGGUCUUAGCUUGCUAAGGCCGAUGGCGACCGGCGCACGGGUGAGUAACACGUAUCCAACCUGCCGUCUACUCUUGGACAGCCUUCUGAAAGGAAGAUUAAUACAAGAUGGCAUCAUGAGUCCGCAUGUUCACAUGAUUAAAGGUAUUCCGGUAGACGAUGGGGAUGCGUUCCAUUAGAUAGUAGGCGGGGUAACGGCCCACCUAGUCUUCGAUGGAUAGGGGUUCUGAGAGGAAGGUCCCCCACAUUGGAACUGAGACACGGUCCAAACUCCUACGGGAGGCAGCAGUGAGGAAUAUUGGUCAAUGGGCGAGAGCCUGAACCAGCCAAGUAGCGUGAAGGAUGACUGCCCUAUGGGUUGUAAACUUCUUUUAUAAAGGAAUAAAGUCGGGUAUGCAUGCCCGUUUGCAUGUACUUUAUGAAUAAGGAUCGGCUAACUCCGUGCCAGCAGCCGCGGUAAUACGGAGGAUCCGAGCGUUAUCCGGGUUUUAUGGGGUUAAAAGGGAGCGUAGAUGGAAGUUUAAGUCAGUUGUGAAAGUUUGCGGCUCAACCGUAAAAAUGCCAGUGAAUACUGGGAUAUCUUGAGUGCAGUUGAGGCAGGCGGAAUUCGUGGUGUAGCGGUGAAAUGCUUAGAUAUCACGAAGAACUCCGAUUGCGAAGGCAGCCUGCUAAGCUGCAACUGACAUUGAGGCUCGAAAGUGUGGGUAUCAAACAGGAUUAGAUACCCUGGUAGUCCACACGAUAAACGAUGAAUACUCGCUGUUUGCGAUAUACGGCAAGCGGCCAAGCGAAAGCGUUAAGUAUUCCACCUGGGGAGUACGCCGGCAACGGUGAAACUCAAAGGAAUUGACGGGGGCCCGCACAAGCGGAGGAACAUGUGGUUUAAUUCGAUGAUACGCGAGGAACCUUACCCGGGCUUAAAUUGCAGAUGAAUUACGGUGAAAGCCGUAAGCCGCAAGGCAUCUGUGAAGGUGCUGCAUGGUUGUCGUCAGCUCGUGCCGUGAGGUGUCGGCUUAAGUGCCAUAACGAGCGCAACCCUUGUUGUCAGUUACUAACAGGUCAUGCUGAGGACUCUGACAAGACUGCCAUCGUAAGAUGUGAGGAAGGUGGGGAUGACGUCAAAUCAGCACGGCCCUUACGUCCGGGGCUACACACGUGUUACAAUGGGGGGGUACAGAGGGCCGCUACCACGCGAGUGGAUGCCAAUCCCCAAAACCUCUCUCAGUUCGGACUGGAGUCUGCAACCCGACUCCACGAAGCUGGAUUCGCUAGUAAUCGCGCAUCAGCCACGGCGCGGUGAAUACGUUCCCGGGCCUUGCACACAAAGCCCGUCA
rnacentral:rRNA from 1 species